CCUACGGGAGGCUGCAGUGAGGAAUAUUGGUCAAUGGCCGCAGGGCUGAACCAGCCAAGUCGCGUGAGGGAUGACGGUCCUAUGGAUUGUAAACCUCUUUUGUCAGGGAGCAAAGGGCGCCACGUGUGCCGUUUUGCGAGUACCUGAAGAACAAGCAUCGGCUAACUCCGUGCCAGCAGCCGCGGUAAUACGGGGGAUGCGAGCGUUAUCCGGAUUUAUGGGGUUAAAAGGGUGCGCAGUGGGAGUGUCAGGUCAGGGGUAAAAUUUCGGGACUCAACCCCGUCGUGCCGUUGAAACUGGCGGUCUUGAGUGAGGGAGAGGUAUGCGGAAUGCGUGGUGUAGCGGUGAAAUGCAUAGAUAUCACGCAGAACUCCGAUUGCGAAGGCAGCAUACCGGCGCUCAACUGACGCUGAUGCACGAAAGCGUGGGUAUCGAACAGGAUUAGAUACCCCAGUAGUC
rnacentral:rRNA from 1 species